UACGAAGGGGGCUAGCGUUGUUCGGAAUUACUGGGCGUAAAGGGCGCGUAGGUGGCGCUCCAAGUCUGUGGUGAAAGCUCGACGCUCAACGUCGAGUCGGCCAUAGAGACUGGAGGGCUCGAGCACUGUAGGGGCAGAUGGAAUUCCGGGUGUAGCGGUGGAAUGCGUAGAGAUCCGGAAGAACACCGGUGGCGAAGGCGGUCGCUGGGCAGUUGCUGACACUGAGGCGCGACAGCGUGGGGAGCAAACAGGG
rnacentral:rRNA from 1 species